GGUUGAGAAGGGAAGUGGAGUCAGUUGGCUGCUUUGUGAAGAGGAAAGAGUCAGUGCUCUGAGGAACAGCCCACAAGAACACCGAGAAGGUAUGAAACUUGUACGAUAAGGAGACAACACACAAAUACAUUAAAGAAAUUUUUACUUCUAUGGCUACCCCAGCAUGUGUAGAAGAAGCCAUCAAUAAAAGCUGGGCAGGCUUUUAUCUCAGAGGACUUACAGCAGGGAGCUUUGGAUGGUAACAGCACCCAAGAAAAGGACACACUUCCCUUAGUGGAACUCCACACCAUCAAUCCCUGCUGGGAGCCCUGCAAGGCAAUGCUGCCAGAUGAGCCUGUCUGCAGAGCUUUGCCAGAAAAAAUGGAGAAAAUGACGAUGGCAUCUAGGAAAGCUGCCUAAACAGGAUCAUUUCACACAUCUGCAUUCUAAAACACUUCAAACUGCCACCUGCACCUGCUAAGGGCCACUAAAUCAUUUAUUUAUCAAAGCAGCGAAGUACAGAACCAGCAUUUUCUUCUGGAUGAAAAACCUUCAGUCUCCUGGUGCACACAAGUAAUUUCAGUAUGAGAAAUAAUGAAUGAUCAGCUUGGAUGUUGCCUUAUUGCACUUUUUAUAAAAACCUCACCUCAGUGACUGCUAGAAGACAAUAGCAUUAGCAGGGAGGCUAAUCAAAUCGGGUUGUGGAGAUGAGGAGAGGAACCUCAGGACUGGAAGAAAACAAAUGUCACCCUGGUCUUCCAAGAUGGCAAGAAGAACUCAGGGAACCACUGGCCAGUCAGCCCCACCCAAAUCACUGCAAAGGCAACAGAGCAACUCAUUCUGGAGGCCAUCUCUAUCCACAUGCGUGACAGGGAGGUGAUCAGGAGUAGUCAGCAUGGAUUUACUAAAGGGCCUUUGAACGUUUUGCUGCUGCAAGAGGAAGGAGGAAGAAAAAGUAGCACUCCAAGAGGAAACAUCAGCACUGUUGUCCAUAUCAGGGUAACCACACCAGACUGUCACUAAAAGCUUUGAGUGUACCAUGUCACAAUGAAUAACUAGUAAGUAUUGCUCCUUCACUGAGUUUUCUUGUGCAUGUUUUUCUGUAUGGUGAAGUCACAAAUGCAAGCACUAAGAAUCAAGUAAGAUGAAGUCAUCUUUUGUGACUAAGAACUGUGAGAGGUUUUUAUGACACAAGGUGAGAGAGCUAAGGGACAAAGUGGUCAAUUUAGCAGUAGGAAAAUAAUCUGCGAUAAAAAAUUACUAUCAAUAGUAAGAGAGCACAGAAAAAAAUACAAAACAGCAGGAAAAACCUCUCUCACAUUAAGAAUCUGCCCAAUCAACAUCUGCUGCUUGUGAACACUUGCAGCAGCCCUGCUGGAGGCUACAUGACCCCACUCUGGCAGCAAAGGCCCUCCUUCUAGGGAAAGCAACAGUGCAACUGCUGUGGAUAAGGUUGUGCAUCAAUCCCAACAAUAAAACUGCACAGUCUCUGGACCAGGAGCUUCCAAUUUAACAGCUUCAGACAAAUGAGUAUUUGGGCUCAGCUCACAUGGUCCAUCCAGACACUACAAUUUAUACAGCAUUAUCUAGUUUAUGUACUGCUUUACUAUACUUAGACUGAAAAUGCUUUAAGCUGGCUUUAGUAACUUCCUAAAUAAACAUAUUUAUGCAUAACAACAAGCAAGCUGAGACAAUGUAAUUUAAAGGCCAGCCUUCACCAGCUGUCUUUUCUCUCUGUGGGAGGGGGAGGUAAAGCUUAAAAGCAGAAAAACAAACUUUCCAUGGAACAGCACAAAACCACUAAAGAGGAGUUAACUAUACAGUUUUGUUCAGAAGUCUGCCUUCUGCAGGAAGGUUUCUGGGUUUUCUUUUCUAUUAACUCAGCAUUUUAGCAGAAGCAGCUAGACCCUAAGCAGGAUCCUUACUGAACUUGAAGUAAAACCAAACUAGGGGACUCACCUUCAUGUGAAAUCACCAGCAUCAUACUAUUCAGAUUAUCAAAGGCAAGAAAUCUAACUUCUAAGGACAACACCCAAAGUAAAGCAGCAGAACUACACACUUUGUACAACCUGAUUUAAUGCAUGUAAACCUGUCACUUCACAUGGCCCAGCAGCAGCAUCAAGUUAUACAGGCCCUUCUGUCUUCUUGUGGUUAUAUCAGCCUAACAGUCCGUGUCCACUACCACAAUUAAAAAGUAUAAUUGGUGAUGUUAUUCUUUGAUCUGUACAGAGGUUUUGCAGUCAACUUACUUUUC